rnacentral:lncRNA from 1 species
CAUUCAGGUAAUAUGCAAUUAAAUUAUAAAUAAAUGCUCAAAAUGAUGAGUGAGUGAAUGAGCUAUAUAUAAGAAUAAUAACUGGUUGAAGUGUCAUUCAUAGGAUAAAGUAGAAAUCAGUCAAAUGGCUAACAGUAUAAGGAGGGUUAAAUCAGCAUCCAGGUGUGGAAAUAGCUGAUUUGUAUAUAUAGUUUGUUCCAUGUAAAAUAUUUAUAAUGUAGUACUGGAUGAAAAAAUAUAUACUACAUUUUAUGUACAGUAUAAUCUAAAAUUUCCAUGUUUAGUUAAAAAUGCAGGAAUAUAAUUAUCAAAAUUUGAGUACCAAAUUAUGAAUAAUUUUUCUUUCUUUAAUUCAUAUUUACCAAAGACCCUCCAAGGAGAAUAUAUAGUUUUGUAGUUAGAAAAAAAAUGAUUUGUUAAAGAGAUCAUAAAUGACAUAAUACUUUAUAGAAGUUAGAAGCUGAGAUUGUGAGAAUUUCCAGGGACUCCUGCCACCAGCUCAUCUUGCGUCAUCGUUUAUAUGGAAAUGUUGGAACUGAGGUUGCCUGAUGCCCCUCAAUUCCCAGCAGCUUUCUCUCUGGCUCUCAGCCAGCCUGUUAAACAGAAAAUAAUCAGUAAGACAAUUAAAAACACCCUGGUGUUCUGAGAAGUUACACACAAUCGCUUGGUUACCAAGUGUCUACCUCAGAAGUUUCUUUGCCUCCUAGAGUGAGUGUAAUCAUCUGUUUUAAAUUCUGCUUUUGCCAUUUCACAGUCUGAGACGCAGGACUCUGCAUAGGGCAUAGAUGGAUUUCCACGGUCAGCACGAGGAUGGGAGGAGAACGGGGCAGAUCCAGCCCCACUCAGGGAGACCUGGCUGGAGUUACUUGGCUGGCCCUCACUCCAGAGAGCGGAGACCUUCCCUGGACCCGCUACCCAGACAGCCCCCAGUUGGAAAAUGUUUUCUUCUAAGAAUAAUGCAAGACUAGAGAUGGAAAAAUGCGCACUGCAUUUGCCUUUCGGCAUCUGCAAUGACCCAGUCCUUCUUCAGUGCUGCCACAGGGAGCACAUUCACACGCAUGUCACACAAAUACGGGGUUACGUCAAAAACCCAACCUUCUUGGAGAAAGCCACAAAGGCUAUGAGACCAAGCCUUCACCUAGAUGACACCUGACAGUUCAGAAGCUGAGAUCCUGCGAGGUGUCUGGAGAGCUCAGCUGUGACCCAGUGUAUGGACGGGCGGGCAGUGGGGCCAGGCAGGUGAGAGAACUGUCCACUGUUCAGCAUCAUCAGCCUAAAACCCACAUGCUAUUGCUGCAAAACUACUGACACUUGAAACCACAACCACAGAAGCAGAGGCCCUUUAUCAUCCUCAGUGUGCAACUGGUGGCUUUUCAGAAGAUGAAGAUUAAACAUAUAAAUCAAAAUUCAAAGUAUCAGAAGAAAUUCUAGGAGAUUUUCUAACCCCUGCUACCAUGACUUUUUAAAUUUUUAUUUUUGUGAGAUUCGUGAAUUAUUGUAAAUAAGCUCACAGAGGCCAAAGUGCUCCCCUGAAGUCAUCCAGAAAGAGGCAGUCGGCUAAUCCCCACAUCUGAGACAUCCGUGUUUUCUUAUGAUAAUAGAAAAAUUAAAGAUAAGGGAGAGAGAGGGACAGAAAGAGACAGAACGAAUUGGAGCUAAGAGGAAACACUUUCGUGUUUUGCCCGCAAAAUUCCCAGUGAACAUUCCCAUCGCCGGUGGGUGAAAUCCAAGGCCCUGGCUCCAGGAUCCUGCUCUUUCAUUUGGUGACUUCUGUUCAGAUUUGUCAUAAAAACAACAUGGAACUUGUUACCCUUCUCUGGACAAGUUAUGCUCAGGCUUUUCGCUCACAGGCUCCACUUUUCUGGACACCUCUUCAUUCUAAGCGUCAAGUAAUUCAGCUUCACUCUUCAGAGAAGAGCUCAGGUGUCACUUCCUCUAAGGACCCUCCCUAGACACCUCUCCAGUAGAAGGGCCCCCACAUUGCUCUUUGCACCUCUGUCCCUUGAGGUGCUGCUGUCAUCUGUGGAGGGUGGGACACUGGGA